rnacentral:rRNA from 1 species
GAUGAACGCUGGCGGCGUGCCUAAUACAUGCAAGUCGAGCGAACAGACGAGGAGCUUGCUCCUCUGACGUUAGCGGCGGACGGGUGAGUAACACGUGGAUAACCUACCUAUAAGACUGGGAUAACUUCGGGAAACCGGAGCUAAUACCGGAUAACAUGUUGAACCGCAUGGUUCAACAGUGAAAGACGGUCUUGCUGUCACUUAUAGAUGGAUCCGCGCCGCAUUAGCUAGUUGGUAAGGUAACGGCUUACCAAGGCAACGAUGCGUAGCCGACCUGAGAGGGUGAUCGGCCACACUGGAAGUGAGACACGGUCCAGACUCCUACGGGAGGCAGCAGUAGGGAAUCUUCCGCAAAGGGCGAAAGCCUGACGGAGCAACGCCGCGUGAGUGAAGAAGGUCUUCGGAUCGUAAAACUCUGUUAUUAGGGAAGAACAAAUGUGUAAGUAACUAUGCACGUCUUGACGGUACCUAAUCAGAAAGCCACGGCUAACUACGUG